UUCCACCGGGAUAACCCUGGAAGACCUGGUAGACCGCCUGGAGGCGUCCCUUAAGGGGGGGGUACUGUGGUGGUUGCAUUCUCCAGCCACCUUCCUUGUGUGUGUGUUUUCCCUUUCCCUGUCUGUGUGGGCGUGGUGCCUGUCACUCCUGGCUCCCGGCUCAAAUCUCCACCAGCUGCAAACAGUUGAGCACUCUCCUCUGCGACACACCUGAUUCCCAUCAGCCAUUACGGAUGGUAUAUCAGCGGAGGCUCCACAACCUGUCAGCGCCAGAUCGUUGUUAAACCCCAGUGGAUUACGCUUCAGUGGAUUACGUUCCAGUGGAUUAAAACUCCGGAGGAUACUCUUCAGUGGAUUACGCUCCAGUGGAUACUCUCCAGCCGGAUUAUCUCCUCCAAAUAAAACCUUUGUAACACAC